rnacentral:rRNA from 1 species
UGAGAAUGUGCCUUCGGGAACCGUGAGACAGGUGCUGCAUGGCUGUCGUCAGCUCGUGUUGUGAAAUGUUGGGUUAAGUCCCGCAACGAGCGCAACCCUUAUCCUUUGUUGCCAGCGGUCCGGCCGGGAACUCAAAGGAGACUGCCAGUGAUAAACUGGAGGAAGGUGGGGAUGACGUCAAGUCAUCAUGGCCCUUACGACCAGGGCUACACACGUGCUACAAUGGCGCAUACAAAGAGAAGCGACCUCGCGAGAGCAAGCGGACCUCAUAAAGUGCGUCGUAGUCCGGAUUGGAGUCUGCAACUCGACUCCAUGAAGUCGGAAUCGCUAGUAAUCGUGGAUCAGAAUGCCACGGUGAAUACGUUCCCGGGCCUUGUACACACCGCCCGUCACACCAUGGGAGUGGGUUGCAAAAGAAGUAGGUAGC